CUACUUUGUCCAGUUAUUAGCUGGUCCAAGAAAGGAAGUAAUGAGCCGCAUUUCCGAAAAUCGCAGUUGCAAUAUAACCUCGAUAAGUAUUCCUCCCGAGAAUCCAGGGUCGUUACUGUCAGAAAAUAUCACCCCGGAGGGCAUGGAAAGGGCCGUCUGGAGAAUAAUCACAGCUACGUAGAGAAGAGAGACGGUAAGUGCGAAACAUGGGAGUCGGAAGAACAAAUCGACCUGGACUCGUUCAAUGCCAACGUUUUCUUCGAAAUCCUGGUGACGCAGUCUCUGGCGGUUACAGCCAAACUGAGCCAAUUUAAGGAAGAGCUGAAAACCUUCUACCACAAACUUCUGGAGGAAAUAGCCCCACUCCGAGAUCUCUGGCUGGCGAGGGUGUGCCUCUCAGAGAGGACGGAACCAUAUGACGAAGUCUUGAUGGCAAACUACGCCAAAGCGAAACAGCAGGCAGAAGAGGACAUUCUGCGCCGGAGAUACCUGGCAGCAGAGUACGAAGAAAGCGUGACUAGACAGCUCCACUUACUGAGCCAGGAACUGAAAUGUCAAGAGGAACACUUCAUCGCAUUUCAUUCUGCUCUCCGGGAAGCAACCAGGUGGAUGGAGGCACUUGCCGAUACCCUGUCUUCUACAGAAGACCCUAAACAUGACCAUCACAGGCUAUUGAGCCUCAUCGAUGCUGCCAGUAGCCGGAUGUCCGGUGCAGUCCUUAAGGAGAGCAACAGGCUGAUGCUGUGGGGGAUUGCAGAAGGAGGCAUCGGGGCUCCCCUGCUCCACCCAGAGAAGAACAGAUUGCUCACCAAGGAGGAGCUUGUAGGGCCAGAUGGCGCUGUGAAGGCCCAUGAUCUUCUACACCAGGAUGCUACCACUGGACUAAUUGUACCCAACGAUGAGGUCGUCUUGUUGUUGGCCAACAAAUCCAUGAAGCUUAUAUCCACAGGUCAUUUUGUGCAUCCCGGCACUGGGAAAUUGCUUCCCGUAGCUGGAAAUGUCGGCUUCGAUCUCACCAGCUCUAAGCUCAUCCCUAUGGUGGAUGUAGUACCUGGAGAGGUUUGUCAUUCGGACCUUCCCGUCUUCCCCUACGUCCCGUUUCCCAUCUGCCCCAGCACUGGCCUGCCGGUGAAGACCAAUUUACCCGUCCUGCAGCCUGAGAAGGUGUUCAGACUGGGAGGCCUCAUGCACGAUCCCGCCUCGGGGAUGGAGGUGCCCAUCCUGGCCGUCACGAUCCACCCGCAGACGGGCCAGAAGCUGUCCUUGGGCGGGACGUACCUGAAUCCUCUGAUGGGGACCAUGAUGCCUCUUGAGAUUGGGGGACCCAUGAGGGCGCCGGAGGGAGACAAAAUUGUCCCCAUCCUCGGAGUCCACCUGGACAGUCACACAGGAGAUGUUCUUCCUGUGGGGGGCUUAAAGGACCCCUCGGGGAACCUCCUGCUUCUUGGGGACUCCUUUGUAGAGCCAUUGAGUGGGAAGACGGUUCGGGUGCAAGGAGCUUGCUUUCAGCAAGACAAGAUGGUCCCCCAUGCAGGAGGUUACCAGCUAGUCCAGGAUACCAACCUCCUGGUGGCCGAGAUCCAUGUGGCAAAGGCUCUGACAGAGUAUAAAAAGGCCCUCUGUGAGGAUCUGCGCCCUCCUGGAGAGGGACAGAAAGCCCUUAAAGAGACGGAAGAAAAGAUGAUGACAGCACAGGCCCAGAAGCUGGAUUAUUUGAUGCACCGCCUACAAAAUUCGGAGAAACAGCAAGAACAUGCUUCAAAUCUGAAGUGCACCGGUGGAAAACUCGGGAUGAUCAAAUACCCCGGCACAGAACUGUGGAUUCCUGCUGUGUUUGGCAUGAAGAUCCCAGAUCCUGGGGGUUCCGAUAUGAUGGUACCCCUCCUCGGAGUGGAAUGCAACUGGAAGACAGGGCAGCCAAUCCCCCUGGCUGGGACCAUGGAAGAUGCUGAUGGGAAAGGUCUGGUCCCUCUCGCUCUGGGCUUCAAGACCAUUGACCCCAUCACAGGGGAGACUGGGCCCGUGAUCGGGGCCGAAAUCAACCCCUGGACCAGCACUGUGGUGCCAAUCGUCCAGUCUCUAGGCAGUUUACCGAGAGGAAAUCCAGACCCAGAUUUGCUGGCUGCCUUGGAUAAGGAGACGGUUGCCAAACGGAGGUACUGGCAAAGCCAAAGAGAAAAGGAGGAAGAUCUGCUUAAAGAGUUGGAUUUCUUACACCUGGCGAUCCUGGAGGCAGCCGACAAGGGCAAGAUGAGGAAGGUGAGGUACAGGUAGGGCUGGCUGCCACGGAAACACAGAAUCACAGAACUGGACAGCUGGAAGGGACCCCCCCCCAAAGGCCAUCGCGCCCACGUCCCUGUUGAAGCAGGACGGACCUCCACCGCUCAAACCUCCUUGACAGGCAGCC
rnacentral:lncRNA from 1 species